UACGUAGGAGGCAAGCGUUGUCCGGAAUCACUGGGCGUAAAGGGUGCGUAGGUGGCUCUAUAAGUAUGGUGUGAAAUCUCCCGGCUUAACUGGGAGGGUGCGCCGUAGACUGUGGGGCUAGAGUGUGGGAGAGGAAAGUGGAAUUCCUGGUGUAGCGGUGAAAUGCGUAGAUAUCAGGAGGAACACCGGUGGUGUAAACGGCUUUCUGGACCAUAACUGACACUGAGGCACGAAAGCGUGGGUAGCAAACAGG
rnacentral:rRNA from 1 species